rnacentral:rRNA from 1 species
CUGGGCGUAAGAGCGCGUAGGCGGCCUAUUAAGUCAGGUGUGAAAUCUCCAGGGCUCAACCCGGAAACUGCACUUGAUACUGGUAGGCUGGAGUGUCGGAGAGGUGAUUGGAAUUCCUGGUGUAGCGGUGACAUGCAUUGAUAUCAGGAGGAACACCCAUGGCGAAGGCAGAUCACUGGCCGACAACUGACGCUGAGGCGCGAAAGCGUGGGUAGCAAACAGAAUUAGAUACUCUGGUAGUCCACGCCCUAAACGAUGGAUACUAGACGUCAGGGGUAUCGACCCCCCUGGUGUCGCAGCUAACGCAUUAAGUAUCCCGCCUGGGGACUACGGCCGCAAGGUUGAAACUCAAAUGAAUUGACGGGACCCCGCACAAGCGGUGGAGCAUGUGGAUUAAUUCGAUACUAACCGAAGAACCUUACCCAGUCUUGACAUCGACGGAAAGCCCUAGAAAUAGGGCCCUCAACCCACAAGGUUGACCUGAAGACAGAUGUUGCAUGGCUGUCGUCAGCUCGUGCCGUGAGGUGUUUGGUUAAGUCCAGCAACGAGCGCAACCCUCAUUUUGUGUUACCAGCGAGUAAUGUCGGGGACUCACAAGAAACUGCCCGUGUAGGCGGGAGGAAGGUGA